UCCUGCUCGCGCGCUUCCCCGGCGGCUCCUCCCGCGUCCCCUCAGGGAGCUCUCGGCUGACAGAGCCGCUCUCGGUAAGCGCGCGCUCCCCGGAGCGGGGAUGACAGCGGCUUCCCGCCAGUGGGCGGACCCCCGAGAGGCGGGAGUCGGAGCAGGCCCGCGAGCCCGGCCGCAGCCAGGAUUUUGAAAGAAGUGCUGUGGGAGAAGUGAAGGAAUAAGGUGACUCAGUCUGCCAUCUGUAUCUGGGAAACUAAGAGGUGGCUCUGAAUUAUAUCUUCAAGGAUGAACAUGCGACUUGUCAGCCAAAGAAGAGGAAAACAGCAUUCCUGGCAGAAUAAUAAUAGAAAAAAAAUAAAAUAGAAAUAAUAACUG